ensembl:snRNA U6 U6 spliceosomal RNA
GUGCUCACUUCAGCAGCACAUAUACUAAAACCUGGAAAGAUACAGAGGAGAUUAGUACAGCCCGUGCACAAGGAUGACAAAUAAAUUCAUAAAGCAUUCCAUAUUAGA